CACUCUCUCACACCAUCACCAUCACUUCAGUGACUCUGGUGGCUCUGGUGGCAGGAUUGGCAGGUUUCAUCGUCUUCGUCUGUUGGAGGAGAAAGACUCAGAGGCCUGCCUCAACAGCAGAGGGAAAACGCAGAGACUUAACAGCAGACUGUGUCUACGAGGAGAUUAAGGACGCCACAAACCCAAACCCAGCAGGCAGCAGCACACCUGAGUCUGUUUACGCCCUCGCCCAGUUGCCCUCUGACCUCUCUGAGGGCCCCGGCUACGCCUCGGUCCGUUUCCACAAGCAUUCCAGCGAGCCACAUGACUCCAGUACAACAGUAUCUGUCAGAGGGGCCGUCAGCACUGAGUAUUCUA